CCCAGACGCCCCUCCUCUUAGUUUUUAAAAUCAAAAACAAAUGGAGACCCGCCUUGAAAAUUCCCUGAGCAUACAAAACCAGUUUAAUUCUACAAACAAAGCUUAAUUUAACUUUAAGUUAGCAAGACUAACUUGACCUGAGUUGUUUUUUGCUUUUGCCUCUGGAAAUCAUAAGCAAAAUUCACCUUUUCCCAAGGUUGAUAUGAGGUAGCCACUGGCCACCUCCCUAUCAUUUGAGAAAAGUUUAAUGUUAUAACAAAUCCCUGUGAACAGUCUCUGCUUUCUUACUAUAUAAGCAGCUUUAUAACAACAUAACCUUGAGCCUCAUUCCAUAUUUUGGUUUGAGCGCUCCUGGUUUGCAAACUGUCUUUCUGGUGUGUGUAUAACACACCUAUGAUCCAUUGGUUUUCCUUCCAUUAUUUUUGAACUUUUGACAUUUCAUGUCAUCAGAAGUGGAGCCCAAAGAAGACCUCUAACAAUUUUGAAACCGGUGAGCCAGCAGGUGCUGGUACCCACAGAGCCCACUGAGCUCCCUACUUUCUCAUCCACCCUGGAGCUUGAGGAGAGCAUGAGCGGUGGAGGGCAGAGAGAGAGAAAAACACAGAACCCAAAGCAGGCUCCAGGCUCUGAGCUGUCAGCACACAGCCCCACACUGGACUCGAACUCGUCAACUGUGAGAUCAUGACCUGAGCCGAGGUCAGGCACUCAACUGACUGAGCCACCCAGGUGCUUUUUAAAUCUUGUAUCACUUUGGUUUAAUGGGUAACUAAAUAUUGUAUCACAGUGAUCUAUGAUUGUAUUUUAUCAAAUAAUAAUUUGUCUUUUGACAUUUGUAACAAACUUCCCCAGAUGAAAUUCUGAAUAAAGUAGUAAGAGAAAUGUUAA